rnacentral:other from 1 species
AAGACCCUGCCUUGUGCGAUAAAUGCGACCAAGAAGUAACCCAACACGUAAUUUACAGGGAGCCGGUCUCCGGUGAGGGACUGCAGACCUCCCGCUCAGGCGGACGAAGGGAGCGCGAAAUCACCGGGAGGCACCCACCUGCUGAGAGCAGGUUACUGUCGGCGCAUCGGCAAGGCGGGGCGUUU